GACGACGCUGGCGGCGUGCCUAAUACAUGCAAGUCGAACGAGUGGCGGACGGGUGAGUAAUGUCUGGGAAACUGCCUGAUGGAGGGGGAUAACUACUGGAAACGGUAGCUAAUACCGCAUACCAUCGGAUGUGCCCAGAUGGGAUUAGCUAGUAGGUGGGGUAAAGGCUCACCUAGGCGACGAUCCCUAGCUGGUCUGAGAGGAUGACCAGCCACACUGGAACUGAGACACGGUCCAGACUCCUACGGGAGGCAGCAGUGGGGAAUAUUGGACAAUGGGCGAAAGCCUGAUCCAGCCAUGCCGCGUGUGUGAAGAAGGUCUUCGGAUUGUAAAGCACUUUAAGUUGGGAGGCGUUACCAACAGAAUAAGCACCGGCUAACUUCGUGCCAGCCGCCGCGGUAAUUC
rnacentral:rRNA from 1 species